UGAACAAGUAAAAUACAAAACCGUGAAGACAUGAAUUUGGAAAUAUGUAUUGUUAUGUGUAUAUUGUUCUGAUUUAUUCAAGUGAUAAAGGCUGAAAGCAUAGCUUGAUUUGUCAAGCAACAAUUUCUUCCAGUUGAUAAAAAAGGAACAUAUCAUUCAAGGGAAUUGAGUAUCUUUAAAGACGAAUCAUUUUGGAAGCACUAUUUUGUGGUUGUCGUAUGGUUAACAAGUAGUCCGACCAAGUUAGGCCUAACAAUAAGUCAGAUACGAGUUAUUUUUAAGACCAUUGUAAAAUCGAUGUACAGUACCUAUGUAUAAUAAAAGCGGAAGAAGAUGGAGGUAUGCCGAUGACACAUACAUUCCGUCGAUAGUAGUGUCUUCUGUAUACCUCUCUAACAAUAAGUCUUCUUUGGCAGUGACCUUCCCAUAAUGAAAUAGGAAAGUGGAACAAAACUUUCCGAAUACGAUGUUUCCAUGGCAGUCUAGAUUGGGUCGUAAAGAACCGCGAGAGAAACAUUGUUCAUUGGAAACAAAUGCAUACAUAGAGACAAUGAUGGGUCUGACAGGCUUAGGGAUGAUAAUGCUAUAAAUAAGAGGUUUAGCUGUUGAAUGUUUCAUAUGCUGCACUGACAAAUACAACCUGGCUAACUUUUGAAACUCUCUUAUUUGAGUGCAUUUGGUACUAUCUCCUUCGAAAAUGAUUCAGAAACGUGUAUUUUAUACGUAGUGUGUAUGUGUAUUAUAACAUUUUAAUUUUUUAUAGAAUAUAUUAUAAAUUUAUGACACAAUAA